AAGGGUGGAAAGUGCACGGUGGAGGUUAGGGGGCCACAGGACAGUGUCGGGGGGCUUGGGGUGACACACAGGCAUUGCGGGCUGAGGGGCAAAAAGGGGGGGACUUGACAGGUGGAGAGCUGACCCUGAGGGUUAGGGGUACAAAGGACAGGGCACGGGGUACCAGGAAGGGUUAGGGUACAGCAGCAGCCCUCACCCCAACCCUAAGCUCACCCUAAACACACCCCUAGAACACCAGUGUUCCUCAACAGCAGCUGCAGGCAGUGACCCUAAUGCUGGGACAGCCCCAGAACCCUCCCAGCAGCUGCAGGCAGUGACCCUAAUGAAAAGCCCUGCCAGCAGCAGCAGCACACAGCAACCCUAACAGCGAGAGCACACCGGAACGCUCCCGCUAGGACAAGGCAGUGACCCUCACACCAGGACAACGACAGAACCCUCAGAGGACAACGGGACCCCCUGGAGAAAGCCCUGCCAGCAGCAGCACCACACAGCAACCCUAACAGCGAGAGCACACCGGAACGCUCCCGCUAGGACAAGGCAGUGACCCUCACACCAGGACAACGACAGAACCCUCAGAGGACAACAGGACCCCCUGGAGAAAGCUAAAAGAAACAAGACGUGAAAGACUGAAUGAAGACCAGAAUAGCCCCUGGUAAUUUGUUUUACCCCCAAAAGGAUGGACACUCGCUGCACUAAUUGCACUUAUCAUGGAAUCAUUCAGGUUGGAAAAGGUCAUUAAAGAUCAUCGAAUCCAAAUCUACACUGAAAACGUCACAGUUUCCAGCAAUUCUGAAGAAAACAGCAGCAGAACAAACAGCCAAAAAGAGAUACAAACACAAGUCAGUUUUGAGGCUUCAUAAAUCAACAAAGAAAAAGAUGGUGAUAUUAUGCAAUACUCUGCGCAGAGUGGGAGGUGGAACGCACAUAUGUUCAAGUAUGUGGCAUGCUCUAUAAAAAGUAAGUGUGGGAGCCUCUGCAAUUCCUAUCUCAAUUCUUAUCUCAGUUGCUAACUUCCUUGUUCAAUCUCCUCAGUCCCUCUCUCUCUAGUCCCUCCAGCCUGUCACACCUCUGCAUGUGAAAAGGCCUUCUGGACCUGAAAUAAAAUAAAUACAGGUUCUUGCUAUUUA